UACGUAGGGUCCGAGCGUUGUCCGGAAUUAUUGGGCGUAAAGAGCUCGUAGGCGGUUUGUCGCGUCUGCUGUGAAAUCCCGAGGCUCAACCUCGGGUCUGCAGUGGGUACGGGCAGACUGGAGUGCGGUAGGGGAGAAUGGAAUUCCUGGUGUAGCGGUGGAAUGCGCAGAUAUCAGGAGGAACACCGAUGGCGAAGGCGGAUCUCUGGGCCAUUACUGACGCUGAGGAGCGAAAGCUGGGGGAGCAAACGGG
rnacentral:rRNA from 1 species